rnacentral:misc_RNA from 1 species
AUGUGUCAAAUUAAACAUAAGUCGGCAGGAAAUCAGUAUUGUAACUAUCAGUACUUAGCUUUAAUUUACUAGGUUAAAUCAGUCAUUUAAAAUUAGCGAAUCACUAGCUUAAGUUUAACUUCGGGGGGUGACGGAGAUAUAUUCGACGACGCUGUUAUUAAAUUAAUUUCAUUUUUGAAUUGUAUUUCUGACAUAUAUCUUUGGUGAUUCUAUCCAUUUAACUUCAGCUGUUAAUCACGACUAGAUUACGUGAAUAGCAUUGAAAUAUA